rnacentral:rRNA from 1 species
AUUGAACGCUGGCGGAAUGCCUAACACAUGCAAGUCGAGCGGGGUGUAGCAAUACACCUAGCGGCGGACGGGUGAGCAAUACAUAGGAAUCUACCUUUCAGUGGGGGAUAGCCCGGGGAAACCCGGAUUAAUACCGCAUGAUGUCGCAAGACCAAAGCGGGGGACCGUAAGGCCUCGCGCUGAAUGAUGAGCCUAUGUCUGAUUAGCUAGUUGGCGGGAAAAGCCCACCAAGGCUACGAUCAGUAGCUGGUUUGAGAGAACGAUCAGCCACACCGGAACUGAGACACGGUCCGGACUCCUACGGGAGGCAGCAGUGGGGAAUAUUGGACAAUGGGCGCAAGCCUGAUCCAGCAAUUCCGCGUGUGUGAAGAAGGCCUGGU